rnacentral:rRNA from 1 species
UACAGAGGGUGCAAGCGUUAAUCGGAAUUACUGGGCGUAAAGCGUGCGCAGGCGGCUCCUUAAGUCAGAUGUGAAAGCCCCGGGCUUAACCUGGGAACUGCGUUUGAAACUGGGGAGCUGGAGUGUAGAAGAGGGGGGUGGAAUUCCAGGUGUAGCAGUGAAAUGCGUAGAGAUCUGGAGGAACACCGAUGGCGAAGGCAGCCCCCUGGGCUAACACUGACGCUCAUGCACGAAAGCGUGGGGAGCAAACAGG